rnacentral:rRNA from 1 species
UUUGAUCCUGGCUCAGAUUGAACGCUAGCGGGAUGCCUUACACAUGCAGUCGAACGGCAGCACGGACUUCGGUCUCUUGGUGGCGAGUGGCGAACAACGGGUGAGUAAUGUAUCGGAACGUGCCUAGUAGUAGCCGGGGGAUAACCGCGAAAGCGUAGCUAAUACCGCAUACGCCCUACGGGGGAAAGCAGGGGAUCGCAAGACCUUGCACUAUUAGAGCGGCCGAUAUCGGAUUAGCUAGUUGGUGGGGUAACGGCUCACCAAGGCGACGAUCCGUAGCUGGUUUGAGAGGACGACCAGCCACACUGGGACUGAGACUGAGACACGGCCCAGACUCCUACGGGAGGCAGCAGUGGGGAAUUUUGGACAAUGGGGGAAACCCUGAUCCAGCCAUCCCGCGUGUGCGAUGAAGGCCUUCGGGUUGUAAAGCACUUUUGGCAGGAAAGAAACGUCGCGGGUUAAUACCCCGCGGAACUGACGGUACCUGCAGAAUAAGCACCGGCUAACUACGUGCCAGCAGCCGCGGUAAUACGUAGGGUGCAAGCGUUAAUCGGAAUUACUGGGCGUAAAGCGUGCGCAGGCGGUUCGGAAAGAAAGAUGUGAAAUCCCAGAGCUUAACUUUGGAACUGCAUUUUUAACUACCGGGCUAGAGUGUGUCAGAGGGAGGUGGAAUUCCGCGUGUAGCAGUGAAAUGCGUAGAUAUGCGGAGGAACACCGAUGGCGAAGGCAGCCUCCUGGGAUAACACUGACGCUCAUGCACGAAAGCGUGGGGAGCAAACAGGAUUAGAUACCCUGGUAGUCCACGCCCUAAACGAUGUCAACUAGCUGUUGGGGCCUUCGGGCCUUGGUAGCGCAGCUAAACGCGUGAAGUUGACCGCCUGGGGAGUACGGUCGCAAGAUUAAAACUCAAAGGAAUUGACGGGGACCCGCACAAGCGGUGGAUGAUGUGGAUUAAUUCGAUGCAACGCGAAACCUUACCUACCCUUGACAUGUCUGGAAUCCCGAAGAGAUUGGAGUGCUCGCAAGAGAACUGGAACACAGGUUCUGCAUGGCUGUCGUCAGCUCGUGUCGUGAGAUGUUGGUUUAGUCCCGCAACGAGCGCAACUUGUCAUUAGUUGCUACGAAAGGGCACUCUAAUGAGACUGCCGGUGACAAACCGGAGGGGUGGGGAUGACGUCAAGUCCUCAUGGCCCUUAUGGGUAGGGCUUCACACGUCAUACAAUGGUCGGGACAGAGGGUCGCCAACCCGCGAGGGGGAGCCAAUCCCAGAAACCCGAUCGUAGUCCGGAUCGCAGUCUGCAACUCGACUGCGUGAAGUCGGAAUCGCUAGUAAUCGCGGAUCAGCAUGUCGCGGUGAAUACGUUCCCGGGUCUUGUACACACCGCCCGUCACACCAUGGGAGUGGGUUUUACCAGAAGUAGUUAGCCUAACCGUAAGGGGGGCGAUUACCACGGUAGGAUUCAUGGCUGGGGUGAAGUCGUAACAAGGUAGCCGUAUCGG